AUGGCCGACGCGGGUCAAAGUGUAGUAGCUGUUCUUAUCAGCUUAAUAUCUGAUAUGGGUUGUAUUUGGACCCAAUAUAUUUACCUUAUUUGUGCAAGUUGGCGGAGUGCUUGACGCCUGCUUGACCUCCACCGCGGGUCGGCCAGGUAAUGCACUAUCUUCGGGAUUUUUGGUCGACGGACA